AAACGUUCACUCUGCUACCAGCAGAGCGCAGUUCGAUCGACGCCAUGGAACGGGGACGUCGG
rnacentral:ncRNA from 2 species